CCUACGGGUGGCAGCAGUGAGGAAUAUUGGACAAUGGGCGAGAGCCUGAUCCAGCCAUGCCGCGUGCAGGAAGACUGCCCUAUGGGUUGUAAACUGCUUUUAUACAGGAAGAAACACUCCCUCGAGCAGGGAGCUUGACGGUACUGUAAGAAUAAGGAUCGGCUAACUCCGUGCCAGCAGCCGCGGUAAUACGGAGGAUCCAAGCGUUAUCCGGAAUCAUUGGGUUUAAAGGGUCCGUAGGUGGAUAAUUAAGUCAGAGGUGAAAGUCUGCAGCUCAACUGUAGAAUUGCCUUUGAUACUGGUUGUCUUGAGUUAUUAUGAAGUAGUUAGAAUAUGUAGUGUAGCGGUGAAAUGCAUAGAUAUUACAUAGAAUACCAAUUGCGAAGGCAGAUUACUAAUAAUAUACUGACACUGAUGGACGAAAGCGUGGGGAGCGAACA
rnacentral:rRNA from 1 species